UGGUGGAGCGAUUUGUCUGGUUAAUUCCGAUAACGAACGAGACUCUAGCCUACUAAAUAGUGGAUGGAUCCCUGGUCCAUACUACUUCUUAGAGGGGCAAAUGAUGUUUAGUCGCACGAAAUUGAGCAAUAACA
rnacentral:rRNA from 1 species